rnacentral:ncRNA from 1 species
UACUAGAGUCCCUGGAGUUAAGGCUGAUACGGCUAACUUCAACCUUCUCAAUUACUGAUUUAUUUGUAACAGAGACCAUCCUAGAGGAUAUGGUUCUCUACACAUCCCACCCACACCCAAUAAGCUGUAUCCCCAGAGAGCCUGCAAAAUAAGCCAGAAAAAGGGGGUUAGACAAGUUGUCAGGUACUACUGCCCCAAUAAUCCCAGCUAGCCAAUCUUAUGCUUUAAACCUACUGCCUGUCCCAGCGUUUACUUUGAAAAAAUUUGAGUGUUCCAAGCAUCCUGUGUUGCCUGUAUACUUCAGCUAGGAGUAAUGGAAUAGGACACCAGUUCUAUUUUGUUGGUUUUUGGAACUGGGGCCAUUAUUAAGAGGGGCAUUCGUGGCAUCAGUAUUGCGCCACUAGAGGUGAAGUUCUUGGACUGGUGCAGGAUGAAUGAAAGCAAGCAUGUUUUCAUUAAUCAAGAGGGAAAGUUUCAAAGACGAUUAGGUUCUGACCAUAAACAAUGCCUACGAGCCAUCCAGUGGCGUUAUCUCGUGUGACCCAAUGAGCAGCUUCUGGGAAACUAAAGUCUUUGGGUUCCGGGGGGAGUAUGGUUGCAAAGCUAAAACUUAAAGGAAUUGACAGAAGGACACCACCAGAAGUGGAGCCUUUGGCUUAAUUUGACUUAACACGGGAAAUCUUAGCUGGCCCAGACGCAAAAAGUAUUGACAGAUUGAUAACUCUUUCUCAGUUCUGUGGGUGGUGGUGCAUGGCCAUUAUUUGUUUGUAUGUGAAUUUUUAAUUCUGACAAUGUUCAAGAUUCCUCCUUGCUAACCAUACAAAUGGCAUUCAGCCACAUGAGAUUGAGUAAUAACAGGUCUGUGAUUCCCUUAGAUGUCCAGAGCUGCACACAUGCUACACUGAACUUAUCAAUGUGUGCCUACCCUUUGCUGAAAGGGUAAUCCAAUGAACCCCGUUCCAAUAAGGAUUGGGGAUUACAAUUGUUUUCCAUGAACUAGGCUUGUGUUGAAUGUGUACACAUCGCCCGUCGCUACUACCGAUUGGAUAGUUUAGUGAGGUCCUUGGAUCGACCCGUGGGGAGUCACUGCUGUGGUGGAGUGCAGAGAAGACAAUCAAACUUGGCUAUCUAGAGGAAGUAAAAGUUGUAACAAGGUUUCUGUAGGUGAACCAACAGAAGCCUCUCUG